ACUACCUUCAUGCUUAAGUUAUGCUUUAUGUCAGUAUAAUGCUUUGAGUCCGUGUGUGCUGUAAAAUAAAGUAAUGCUUUGUGUCAGUGUGUGCUUUAUGUCAGUAUAAUGUGUUGUAGUACUGUAAAAUAAAAUGCUUUGUGUCAUUGUGUGCUUUAUGUCAGUAUAAUGUGUCAUAGUGCUGUAAAAUAAAGUAAGGAAUCUGCUUUAAGAGGACAAGAGGUAAUGCGAUGGGGCCAAUAAGCAGCACCCGGUUCCUCUCUGUAGCUCUAUAUAAGCAGUCGAUACCUCAUUGCAAGACAUCAAGCAAUCCUUGAGUCUUACUCUGAGUCUUGUAAGAAGCUUGCAGUGUGCAUUUACUAAUAGAAAUCUGACUCCGGAGCCAGCUACUCAAAAGAUGACAUAUUGGUUUGAUCGGAUGGAUGGUGGAGUCAGUCGGGUGUAUGACUUCUUUUGGAGACCGAGUCUGCAGAAUCCUUGGGCCUACAACCUAGUCACACGAUGACAUUUCGCACAUGGGUGCCUCCCUACGAGAGCCGGAUAGUAGUAUUUGGAGAACCAAAGCUGCACUUUUUGCAAGCUUUAGGAGGAGACACAAGAGCACCUCUUAUUUGAGUGUGUUCCUAUCGCGGAGACAUGAAGACGGAUCCGGGAGUGGCUACAUAUGCAUCAGAGCAUGUUCACCUAUAGGAGGAUGCUUCAAGUCUUCCAGCAUUCCUGUCAUGGGACUCGGGUUUUGGUGAAGGCUCGUCACCUUGUUGUUUCUUCUAUGAUAAACUAUGUAAGGUUGGCAAGGAAUAGUUGUUUGUUUGAGGGGGUUCAAAUAGAUGUAGAGAGUAUCUUCAAGAGAUAUGUUUUAGUCUUUGGCUGUCUACUCGGACCUGAUGCUGUAUCAGGCGUGAGUGGCACUCCAUACCUACAUUGUACAUUUUGACUCAUAUAGUCAUAUAUACA